UUCACUUCUGUCCAAGUAGGGGCAAUUAAAUUCGAAAUUCUUCGAAGAGCCUUACCUUUCAAUUUCAUCCAUAUAACAUUCAAAAGCGGAGUUUGAUCGUGUCCUUCUAACUGAGAUGCAAAUAAUUCCAAUUGUAAAAUGAAUGGUUCCAGCUCUUCUGGAUUUCCAUCAUAUACGGGUAUACAUUGGAGUGCUGUUAUUUGUGAAAACUCCAUUUUACCUUCCGUUUUGUACCGAACUUUCACCAAAGUAUUUAAUCAAGAAUCAAUUAAUUGUGACAUUGAGAUGUUAAAUUGAAUAAACUUGUUUGUAAGAACACAAAUCCUGCGAACGCAUAUUGCUGGCAAUUACUGUACUGCUGUUGCAUACAUUAUUUCAUUCAAAUCAAAAGCUCCCGUACGUAGACGUGUAAUCAUAUCCAAUGCAUUGCAUUGGAAACGCGCCCAUUACCGUGCGCCUAUCUGCUCGUCCGCGGUUUGGACGACUAAUUGCCGACGCAUCAAAAUGUACUCAGUCCGUUCGCGGGUCGUUCGUUCAGUUCGUUCGCGGGUCAUAUUGAAAAAAGUGCCGAGAGAGUCACCGAAAAAAGUGUGUCAUCCAGUGUCCAGCGUAGAACAUCGUCGUGGAAGUUUUCACCGGAAAAUCCAUCAAGACGUCUUCGAGUUAUGCGAAAACGAACAGAGACCGUUUAAUCGUGGACAAAUUCUAGUGCUUUACCGCAGUGUUCCCUGUUGUGCGGUAACCAAGUAUCAGUGAUAGUCCUGGACUUAAUACCAACUUUAAUUCGGAUACUCGGAUACUUAGUAGUAAAUAAUUUGUUGAGGAUACUUGUAUUAUGGUAUUUAUAAAUAAAAAUGUUUUAUUAUUACAUGUAAAUGCUUCGAAAAGCCCGAAAUUCAUGUACUCA